rnacentral:rRNA from 1 species
CCUACGGGGAGCAGCAGUGAGGAAUAUUGGUCAAUGGACGAGAGUCUGAACCAGCCAAGUAGCGUGAAGGAUGACUGCCCUAUGGGUUGUAAACUUCUUUUAUAUGGGAAUAAAAUGUUCCACGUGUGGGAUUUUGUAUGUACCAUAUGAAUAAGGAUCGGCUAACUCCGUGCCAGCAGCCGCGGUAAUACGGAGGAUCCGAGCGUUAUCCGGAUUUAUUGGGUUUAAAGGGAGCGUAGGUGGAUUGUUAAGUCAGUUGUGAAAGUUUGCGGCUCAACCGUAAAAUUGCAGUUGAAACUGGCAGUCUUGAGUACAGUAGAGGUGGGCGGAAUUCGGGGUGUAGCGGUGAAAUGCUUAGAUAGCACGAAGAACUCCGAUUGCGAAGGCAGUUCACUGGACUGCAACUGACACUGAGGCUCGAAAGUGUGGGUAUCAAACAGGAUUAGAUACCCCUGUAGUC